AGAGUUUGAUCCUGGCUCAGGAUGAACGCUGGCGGCAUGCCUAAUACAUGCAAGUCGAACGAGAGGAAGGAAAGCUUGCUUUUCUGAAUCUAGUGGCGAACGGGUGAGUAACACGUAGGUAACCUGCCCAUGUGCCCGGGAUAACUUCUGGAAACGGAUGCUAAAACCGGAUAGGUAGCAGACAAGCAUUUGACUGCUAUUAAAGUGGCUAAGGCCAUGAACAUGGAUGGACCUGCGGUGCAUUAGCUAGUUGGUGAGGUAACGGCCCACCAAGGCGACGAUGCAUAGCCGGCCUGAGAGGGCGGACGGCCACAUUGGGACUGAGACACGGCCCAAACUCCUACGGGAGGCAGCAGUAGGGAAUUUUCGUCAAUGGGGGGAACCCUGAACGAGCAAUGCCGCGUGAGUGAGGAAGGUCUUCGGAUCGUAAAGCUCUGUUGUAAGAGAAAAACGACAUUCAUAGGGAAUGAUGAGUGAGUGAUGGUAUCUUACCAGAAAGUCACGGCUAACUACGUGCCAGCAGCCGCGGUAAUACGUAGGUGGCGAGCGUUAUCCGGAAUGAUUGGGCGUAAAGGGUGCGUAGGUGGCAGAACAAGUCUGGAGUAAAAGGUAUGGGCUCAACCCGUACUGGCUCUGGAAACUGUUCAGCUAGAGAACAGAAGAGGACGGCGGAACUCCAUGUGUAGCGGUAAAAUGCGUAGAUAUAUGGAAGAACACCGGUGGCGAAGGCGGCCGUCUGGUCUGUUGCUGACACUGAAGCACGAAAGCGUGGGGAGCAAAUAGGAUUAGAUACCCUAGUAGUCCACGCCGUAAACGAUGAGAACUAGGUGUUGGGGGAAUAACUCAGUGCCGCAGUUAACGCAAUAAGUUCUCCGCCUGGGGAGUAUGCACGCAAGUGUGAAACUCAAAGGAAUUGACGGGGGCCCGCACAAGCGGUG
rnacentral:rRNA from 1 species